rnacentral:rRNA from 1 species
GACGAACGCUGGCGGUGCGCCUUAUGCAUGCAAGUUGAGCGAAGCUUUUCAGUAGUUUACUACAGAAAAUGACUGAGCGGCGAACGGGUGAGUAACGCGUGAGCAAUCUACCUUAGUUACUGGGAUAGCCCGAGGAAACUCGGAUUAAUACCGGAUAUUCUUAUUUUUUCACAUGAAGUUUUAAGGAAAGGUCAGCCGAACUAAGAUGAGCUCGCGUUCUAUCAGCUAGUUGGUGGGGUAAAAGCCUACCAAGGCUACGACGGAUAGCUGGUCUGAGAGGACGAUCAGCCACACUGGGACUGAGACACGGCCCAGACUCCUACGGGAGGCUGCAGCAGGGAAUAUUGCGCAAUGAGCGAAAGCUUGACGCAGCGACACCGCGUGUGGGAUGACGGUUCUAGGAUUGUAAACCACUUUCAGGAGGGAAGAAAAUGACGGUACCUCCACAAGAAGACCCGGCCAACUACG